rnacentral:lncRNA from 1 species
CAGGGCAACAGUUUAUUGAAGAACUGCUUCCAGGUUUAUUGAAGAACUGCUUCCAGGUUUAUUUGAAGAACUGCUUCCAGGUUUAUUGAAGAACUGCUUCCAGGUUUUCUCUGAAUGGCUUACAAAGAGCAUGGAGCCAAAAAGACGAUUCUGUCCCCAAAUUGUGGGAUCAAAUGGCAUGGAAGAGAAAAACGGCAAAGACUUCCACGAACUGAACCAGCGUUCUCAAGGGCCUGCAGCGUCGAGGUGAUUAGAAGGCCCCUUCUCACCACGUCGGGGUGCCAAGUGACGCCUUGUAAGUAAUAAAUCUCUGAUUUUUAUUUUAAAGUCCUACCGGGCAGGAUAAUUCUUUUUGUAUGGUUCCUAGAGCGGC